UUAAGAUCCACUCCCCAAAAACCUUCGAGAUAUCAGAUAAGGAGUGCCUCUCGCUUAGUUGGUCAGUUUCAGUGUCAGGAUAACCUUGUUAUGCAAUUUUCUUGCUGGGCAGAGUAUCGCUGUUUGCAGCUUAUCUAGGUCAAAAUUUGAAUUCAACUGAUGGACAAGAAGUGCGCGUCUCCUUGCUGUUCAUAUUUAAUGUGUUUUUCCAGCUAUAUACACAAGGAUUAAGACUGGAAUAUCAACUUCUGCUCAUUCGUCGUAAGGUUCAAUCAACCAGUGGUGCAGGGAAUUGAUUGUAUAGUCAGCCUUGAUUGCAUCAGAUUCUUCGCCCGUGAGAAUUAUACAAAGGAAUGCAACACUUUGCUUUUGCUUUAGAGGGUGGAUUCUCCUGUUCAUUUCUUUCAUUCGUUGGACUUAACUAUAUGCGUGAUUAAAAUCAAUGGAUCCGCCACUUUGUGGAACUUAUUAGUGUAAGGCAGACGCGUACUUUGAAGGCAGACACGUACUUUGAAGGACCUCGAUGUGAUUACUGUGACCCACUUUUCACUAGGAAUAUAAAUUUUGUCACGCAGUGAUUUUUGAGAUUCAGUGAUUGAAUCCGAGUUUGUG